rnacentral:rRNA from 1 species
GACGAACGCUGGCGGCGUGCUUAACACAUGCAAGUCGAACGAAGUGGCGAACGGGUGAGUAACGCGUAAUCAACCUGCCCUUCAGAGGGGGACAACAGUUGGAAACGACUGCUAAUACCGCCUAAUGAAGGAGGGGAUUUCGUGUGAUUGGCUAGUUGGAGGGGUAACGGGCCACCAAGGCGAUGAUCAGUAGCCGGGCUGAGAGGAGGAACGGCCAAAUUGGGACUGGGACACGGCCCAGACUCCUACGGGAGGCAGGAGGGGGGAAUCUUCCGCAAUGGGCGGAAGUCUGACGGAGCAACGCCGGGGGGGGGAUGGCGGCCUUCGGGUUGUAAAGCUCUGUUAAUCGGGACGCGGUACCGGAAUAGAAAGCCACGGCUAACUACGUGCCAGCAGCCGCGGUAAUAC